AUUGAACGCUGGCGGCAUGCUUUACACAUGCAAGUCGAACGGCAGCGCGGGCUUCGGCCUGGCGGCGAGUGGCGAACGGGUGAGUAAUGCAUCGGAACGUGCCCAGUAGUGGGGGAUAGCCCGGCGAAAGCCGGAUUAAUACCGCAUACGACCUGAGGGUGAAAGCGGGGGACCGAAAGGCUUCGCGCUAUUGGAGCGGCCGACGUCGGAUUAGCUAGUUGGUGGGGUAAAGGCUUACCAAGGCGACGAUCCGUAGCUGGUCUGAGAGGACGACCAGCCACACUGGGACUGAGACACGGCCCAGACUCCUACGGGAGGCAGCAGUGGGGAAUUUUGGACAAUGGGGGCAACCCUGAUCCAGCCAUGCCGCGUGCGGGAAGAAGGCCUUCGGGUUGUAAACCGCUUUUGUUCGGGAAGAAAUCCUCUGGGCUAAUACCCCGGGGGGAUGACGGUACCGGAAGAAUAAGCACCGGCUAACUACGUG
rnacentral:rRNA from 1 species